CCUACGGGGGGCUGCAGUGGGGAAUAUUGGACAAUGGGGGGAACCCUGAUCCAGCCAUGCCGCGUGUGUGAAGAAGGCCCUCGGGUUGUAAAGCACUUUCAGUGAGGAAGAACGCCUGGUGGUUAAUACCCAUCAGGAAAGACAUCACUCACAGAAGAAGCACCGGCUAACUCCGUGCCAGCAGCCGCGGUAAUACGGAGGGUGCGAGCGUUAAUCGGAAUUACUGGGCGUAAAGCGCGCGUAGGUGGCCUGAUAAGCCGGUUGUGAAAGCCCCGGGCUCAACCUGGGAACGGCAUCCGGAACUGUCAAGCUAGAGUGCAGGAGAGGAAGGUAGAAUUCCCGGUGUAGCGGUGAAAUGCGUAGAGAUCGGGAGGAAUACCAGUGGCGAAGGCGGCCUUCUGGACUGACACUGACACUGAGGUGCGAAAGCGUGGGUAGCAAACAGGAUUAGAUACCCCUGUAGUC
rnacentral:rRNA from 1 species